GCCUCGUGCCUGAAAGGGCGACGCUGCAAGGCGGAGCGAGAAGUCAGCAGAGGCCAUAGUAGGUGCGGUAUGACUGAAGGGC
rfam:Rhodanobacter sp. 115 contig031, whole genome shotgun sequence.